rnacentral:rRNA from 1 species
CUGCUGCCUUCCGUAGGAGUCUGGGCCGUGUCUCAGUCCCAAUGUGGCCGUCCGCCCUCUCAGUCCGGCUACUGAUCGUCGCCUUGGUGGGCCGUUACCUCACCAACUAGCUAAUCAGACGCGAGGCCAUCUUCCAGCGAUAAAUCUUUGACAUCAGUGCCAUGCGACACCAAUGCGUCAUGCGGUAUUAGCAGUCGUUUCCAACUGUUGUCCCCCUCUGGAAGGCAGGUUCCUCACG